CAGCUCUUACACUGGAUGCUGUAUUAUCCUCCUUGUUUAAUUUAUGUUCUUCUUUACAGAGUGUUGGUUUAUGAAGGGAAACAAGUCAUGGUGGAUUCUGGACCAAUCUAUGAUACAACUUUUGCUGGUGGACGAUUAGGUCUUUUUGUCUUCUCUCAAGAGAUGGUCUAUUUCUCUGACCUCAAAUAUGAAUGCAGAGAUGCUUGAGCAGUGGUUGCUGCAUUACCAGCAAAGUACUGUAGAUGCUAUGCAACCCAGACACCUCAGUGCACCCUGGCACUCCCAGUUUCUAUUUUUGUGUACCUCCUGUCCUAUUUCCUCAUGCUCCACUCUCCAGGAUCCUCCCAGCUGCCAGGAGUGUUUCAGCCACCCUUCCACCCAAGUGCCUUCUCACAGCCAGGACUAACGAAACCUAAACGUGAACGUCGGACCCACCACUGAAGCAAAAGCAGAUUGAUACGUUAGAACAUUUUUGUAGAGUGAAAACUUAGCAAAAUGUGUUUGUUUACUUGUCUUUUUUAAAGAAUGACGUUUACAUAUAAAAAAAUGUAAUUACUUAAUGUAUUUAUAUAUAUGGAGAAAAAGAGGGGGGAUGAUGAUUAUCAGUUGUUAUGUUUAAGUGAGGAAAAAUAUCUCUUAAUUUUUUUGGGUGUACGGUUGACACUUCCUAGCUCUGAUCAAGACUGGACUUGUAACACAGAGCUUCUGGGUCUAAUUUUAGCAAAGUAAUGGAGGGUCACACCAACAGUAAAAAUUACUUUGGAUAUUAAAGAUCAGUUAUAAACAUUUCUUGAUUCAAAAAGGUGCUUAGUUGUUAAGGAUGCUCUUAGUAAUACUCUUUAAAAUUAUUACUGGUAGAACUGUCAAAUUUGCAACCUAAAACAUUCUUUAGUAGGGGCUUUAUUUAGGCCAAACAGAAUUGAACUAGAAACUCUCAUGUGAAAGGGAAGAGUGAUUUAUUUAAACAUCUGAAGCUAUCACUAUUGUCUGACUUUCAAAAAAUUAUGUCCAGUUGCCGUGUUUUCAUCAUAUUCUGCAUUGCCUUGUAAUAAAGAAUAUACCAUGACUAUGUGGAGCA
rnacentral:lncRNA from 1 species